rnacentral:misc_RNA from 1 species
UUAACUUAUUAAGAUUUACUCGGACAACAUAAAACAAAGAGUUUGGGUCCUCUGGCAGGCGCGGACCAGCUGAAGCCGGUGGUCACAAAGACGGGCCUGCCAAAGCAAUAUAGGUAAAUUAAACAUAGGGUGGGAGAUCUACCCCAAAGGGCAACGUCUCUGUAAUGAUCCUUCCGCAGGUUCACCUACGGAGA